rnacentral:rRNA from 1 species
GAUGAACGCUGGCGGCGUGCCUAAUACAUGCAAGUCGAGCGAACAGACGAGGAGCUUGCUCCUCUGACGUUAGCGGCGGACGGGUGAGUAACACGUGGAUAACCUACCUAUAAGACUGGGAUAACUUCGGGAAACCGGAGCUAAUACCGGAUAAUAUAUUGAACCGCAUGGUUCAAUAGUGAAAGACGGUUUUGCUGUCACUUAUAGAUGGAUCCGCGCCGCAUUAGCUAGUUGGUAAGGUAACGGCUUACCAAGGCAACGAUGCGUAGCCGACCUGAGAGGGUGAUCGGCCACGCUGGAACUGAGACACGGUCCAGACUCCUACGGGAGGCAGCAGUAGGGAAUCUUCCGCAAGGGGCGAAAGCCUGACGGAGCAACGCCGCGUGAGUGAUGAAGGUCUUCGGAUCGUAAAACUCUGUUAUUAGGGAAGAACAAAUGUGUAAGUAACUAUGCACGUCUUGACGGUACCUAAUCAGAAAGCCACGGCUAACUACG